CCUUGGGUAGCUCAGCCGGCGAAGCGCGCGACCGAUAAUCGCGAGGCCGAUGGUUCGACUCCAUCUCCAAGGACCA
rnacentral:tRNA from 1 species